rnacentral:rRNA from 1 species
AGAAUGUCAUUAUGAUUAUCGUCUGCUUCCUCGUGGAGUUGGGCUGAUAAGAAAAACAAUAUACAACUUUCAGCAACGGAUCUCUUGGCUCUCGCAUCGAUGAAGAACGCAGCGAAUUGCGAUAUGUAAUGUGAAUUGCAGAUUUUCAGUGAAUCAUCGAAUCUUUGAACGCACCUUGCGCUCCUUGGUAUUCCGAGGAGCAUGCCUGUUUGAGUGUCAUUAAAUUCUCAACCCCAUCAAUUUGUUUUGAUUGUGGGCUUGGAUUGUGGGGGUUUGCUGGUGGACUCUUGUUCGUCGGCUCCUCUGAAAUGUAUUAGCAAAGGUUGAUGUGCGAACCAGUGUCUCGGUGUGAUAAUGAUCAUCGUGCCUGACGUGCAGUGUUCCUGUGCUUACAGUCGUCGUCGCAAGACAACAUUUUGAACCUUUGACCUCAAAUCAGGUAGGAUUACCCGCUGAACUUAAGCAUAUCAAUAAGCGGAGGA